rnacentral:rRNA from 1 species
AUUGAACGCUGGCGGCAGGCCUAACACAUGCAAGUCGAGCGGGGCGCCGGACGGGUACGUAAUGCCUAGGAAUCUGCCCGGUAGUGGUGGCUAAGGUCAGGAACCGGGCGCUAAUCCCGCAUCCUAUCAGAUUAGCCUCGGUCGGAUUAGCGAGUUGGGGGGGUAAAGGCAUACCAAGGCGACGAUCCGGAACUGGUCUGAGAGGAUGAUCAGGCACACUGGAACUGAGACACGGGCCAGACUCCUACGGGAGGCAGCAGUGGGGAAUAUUGGACAAUGGGCGAAAGCCUGAUCCAGCCAUGCCGCGUGUGUGAAGAAGGUCUUCGGAUUGUAAAGCACUUUAAGUUGGGAGGCGUUACCAACAGAAUAAGCACCGGCUAACUUCGUGCCAGCAGCCGCGGUAAUUC